rnacentral:misc_RNA from 1 species
AACGCACAUUGCGCCCUAUAGAAUUCUGUAGGGCAUGCCUGUCUGAGCAUCAUAAUAUCUACUCAGAUCUUUGAUUAUUUUAUAUAGUCUUGGAUAUGGAUUUAAUCAGAGAAGUAACCUAUAUGAGUAGAUUACUCUUUGGAAAAAUAAAGGCAGUUAUAGUGAAACCUGUAUUAAACGUGAUAUUAAAAAGUUUCGUUUUUAAGGACUACAUCUUUGACUUGCCUUUAACCCACUUAAUUCUUUUUGAUUGACCUCAGAUCAGGUAGGGAUACCCGCUGAACUUAA